ACUAAAGCCACGAAACAAGAUGAUUCUUGUGACAUAUCUCAUCGGAUCACGGACACUCGUGGCACCUUACGGACGAUAUUCUCAUUCGCUUUCAAGAAAUAAAUUAAGAGUUUAUCGCAAGAAAAAAAAGAGACGAUGAAUAUUUGUGUAACGGGGAUUGGCUGGGAAAAAGCGAACGCAGCGCCAGAAUAUUCUGCGCGCCUUUCCAAACUCUGGAAUAUAUACACCGUGGAACGUUGCUUCCAGCGAGUACUAAUACGCAGAACGUAACAAUACGCUGUGUUAGAAGAUGUAACAUUCACACAUUUCAACGAGCAAGAAAAAAAAAAGAGGAAAAAAUAAAAGAUUAAGAGUGAGGUUAGGAUUUACGAGGAAUUUAAACUCACUUUGCGUAACGUUGUACACAAUUUUGUAAAGCAGAGAGAGAACGUAGGAAGUGUUUCAGGUGCAUUUAUAGAUGUAAUAAUAAGCGUUAGGCGAGUGAGUGGACACAUCCUCGGUUAGGCAGCUUGGUUAUGUAACCGGUGACUCUUAUUAAUGUAGUGUCGUGGUACCGGGAUACUUUCCCUUCCUUUACGACUCUUUGUACAGAAAUUGUGACAGAGUUUUCCUGGUCCAGGCACUCGUAUCGAAGCAAAUGCAUGCUCGCGUGUAAAUCGAGGGAAACGAGAAACGCGACCGUGAACGAUUCUUAUCACUCGAGAAUUCUUGUCUCGCGGCACUUGGCACCGAAGGGAAGUGAACUGAUUGCGGAAAUUGUUCGGGAUGAAUGAGCAGAUACGACUGUUCCUCGAGAAUGAAUAAUAUCUCUGUGAUAAAAUUUCAUCUACGACACACACACGAUAGAAAGUGGAAUUUCUUACGUAAAGAGCGACUGUGAAUCGAAGAGAGAGAAAGAGAGUCACUUCAACAUUCACAGUAUGGAACUACAGCGAUCUCUGACUAAUUUUCGAUCGAUAGAAACGAUUAAAACAUUUUUUUCAAAAUGUCGCCUGAAAACGGAAACGAAGACCAAGGUAAUUAGAGAAGACGAGUGAAGAUAGUCGAACGAACGACUUGAGAGUACACGUUUGUUUUACAAACGCGUCGAAAAUAAUUUGGUGCUGCUGGAAAACUUACCCGUAUGUACAUAUAAUACUAGGAUCCGAGGGAAUUGCGAUACGUGCGCAUUCCCAGUUAGUAAAGUCGAAUGAUCGUUUAUUCGCCUGAUCGUAUUUUCGACGUAAAAAGUGAAAGCAUCGAAAAAGCAUCGCCCUAGUAAAUAUUAUGCGUUCAAAUAUUAAUUUACUUGGAAAGAAUUACGAAACAGGAAGUACUUUUACCCGUGUGUUUCGCAACUGAAGAGACCAGACAGGCAAGUGACAUUUCGCUGUGUUUUGUUGGCUAUCGAUUGUUAUCGUUACGAUAACGAUCGCGUUAAAAUCUACAAAAUCGAAACGUUGUUAAACCGAUGAGAGAACAUUUUGCUAUUUCUCGUCGAAUGUUCUUUCAUCGAAAAAUUAAUCAGCCAUCUUACUUAUCAUCGUGCAAACUAGAUGCAAAAACAUCGAGAAAAAGAUUGAGGUGGAGGGAGGGGGAGAGAGAGAGGAAAGAGAGAAAGAGUGUGUGAUCUAUCUGUUGAGCUACUUUCAUGUUUUCACUCCCGAGACACGGGAGAAAGUUCUGGAGAUGUGUGAAGCACCGGUGAACGCUCAUCAUUGUCUUACGAAUACGCGUGUAAUAAUUACUGGAAGAGGGGCAUUCUUCCAAGUGACGAGCGCCGUGAACGAUAACGGAGAUUGUGCAACGAAAAACGAGAGAGAUUUAAAACGGCCGACGAUCGAUGAGAGACAAUAUAUUUUGAAAUAUUUAUU